AAAACCCGGCCCAUCGUCCAAGACUUGGGUUGAUGUUAUUGAGCGGCAUUCCGUCAUCCCCACAGAUUGUUUCGUUCACACCGACCUUCUCGUUGCCAGUGGCUCGGAUGAGUUGAAAGAGCUUCCGGCAAUUUACCUAAAACUGAAACUAAAACCCCAAUAAAUAAAAUAACUCCAUAAAUAAUGUAAAUAAAUUUCCGUAUCCUGGCUGUAAUAAAGGCCCAACAACUGCGAAAGGCAUAAUCAAUCACUGCUAUGUAGUACAUAGGUGGUUAGCAAACACCUGACAGGAAGUAAAAUCAAAGACAAAAAACCUGCAAAAACAACUACUGAGCCCCGGUAGUUGUGCAGUGUUUCAAUGUAGCCUCUUCUCCAGAAGGGCCUACCAGGCUUCACCAACUAGUUUGGCCAAGCGUUCAUAGCGACGUCGCUUUUUAAUCCUUUGAUGUUGGCUCUUUCUAUCAUUGUGAAGCGGAAUUCAUCAAGCGUUGGAUUGUUCACCCACUAAUGGGGAAAGUGAGUUAAGUUUAGACCACCGUGAGACAGGUUAGUUUUACCAUACUAAUGAGUACAUUAGUAGAGUUCAAUCUGGCCGUUGCUAUGGUAAUCCAGUUUAGUACGAGAGGAACCGCAGGUUCAGAUAAUUAUUAUAUGUGCCUGGUCGAAAAACCAAUGGUGCGAAGUUACCAUCUGAUGUGUGAAUCCCAUCCAACUUUGCAACGGUACAUUUUGUAUCCGACACGAAGCUGAGCAAGCUUACGUAUUGACUUGGAAUCUGGACUGCACAAUGUUUUCGGCUAGACCAAUUAGGUCAGAUGUUAUGCGAGAGCGAUGACCAUAAACCGUGCUCCGGAUAUUGGGACACGGAGGUCGACACGAUAUCUAAUUGUGGUAUGAGCGUGAGGAUAGUAAAUUGUUUGUAGAUGACUUAAUGUUAUGUCGUGAAGAUUUUAGUGCUCGAGUAGCUAUCACAAUGAGAGGCAUUGGAUCCUAUCAUUACUUGACGUAACGAUUUAA
rnacentral:ncRNA from 1 species